ACUGGAGUUUCCCCAUGUGUAAACUGAGGAAGGUUCACAGUACCUGGGAGGAUUUUUGGAGAAAAGCAAGAGUUGCUUCAAUCAAGCAGUAAGCACUGCAUCUGCCACAAGGUUCGAUGUUUGGAAAAUGGCUUCUUAGGGAAGAAGUGGCCCCACGAAAGAUUUAGGUUUUGCUGGAAUAAUUUUUCCUUGAAGCCAUGCUCAUCUCUACCACAUACUCCCAACCACGUCUUCAACCUGCCAGAUCCUCUGGUAGGCUGGGGAUUUCUCCUGUCUUUG